GGAAGGGUGGCUGAGCCCGGUUUAAGGCACACGACUCGAAAUCGUGCGUAGCCAAAAGCUACCGAGGGUUCGAAUCCCUCCCCUUCCGCCA
rnacentral:tRNA from 1 species